UCUGUAGGAGGUUUAUUAAAAUUGGGGUGAAAUCCCGGAGCUCAACUCCGGAACUGCCUUGAUGACUGAUGAACUAGAGUACUGGAGAGGUAAUCGGAAUACCAGGUGUAGCGGUGGAAUGCGUAGAUAUCUGGUAGAACACCAAUAGCGUAGGCAGAUUACUGGACAGAAACUGACUCUGAAAGACGAAAGCAUGGGGAGCAAACA
rnacentral:rRNA from 1 species